rnacentral:rRNA from 1 species
AUGGAGGCGACGGGGGUGAGCUUAGGGAAGGCCGCACUAGGCGGCGCCUUGAGCUACGCCAGUUCCAAGGUGGCCGAGGAGGUCGCCCUGCAGCUCGGCGUCGAGCGUGAUGUGAACUUCAUCAGGGACGAGCUGCAGAUGAUGCAGUCGUUCCUGAUGACGGCUGAUGAGGAGCAAAGCCAGAACAAGGUGCUCACCACUUGGGUGCGACAGAUCGGAGUCCUCGCGUACAAAGUGGAGGACAGCCUCAUGGAUUUCGGCCUCCACUCAGAGAAAAAGCCAUUUUUGGGGUGCAUUCCCCGUGACCCAGGUGAUCGACGCCGCAUCGCCAAGGAGGUGAAAGAGCUGAGGGCCAAGGUAGAGGACGUGAGCGACAGGAACUUGCGGUACCGCCUCAUCAAGGAGAGAUCACGCUCCAAGCUUACCGCAGCAGAGGAGCAGGCCCGCAUUGCUGCUACGGCAAUGUUUGGCAUCAAGGAAGCGAAGUUUGACAUCGAUAAAGUGAGGAUUGCCACCUUCGAACAGGAAAGAUCAUCAGAGGUGGACCUUUGCAAACUGAUUACCAGCAACGCUGUAGACCUUAGGGUGAUCUCCGUGUGGGGAACUAGCGGUGAUGUCGGGAAGACGUCCUCCAUCAAGGAGGUUUAUGAUGACCCAGAGGUAUUGAAGAGGUUUGGAUUCUUUGCUUGGAUUAGAUUGAUGCAUCCUUUCAAUCCACAAGAGUUCCUCUGGAGCAUGGUAAGGCAAUUUUAUGAAAAUUCCCGCGAUGAGGUUGGAAAGGCAGAACAAGAAACAAGUGUCGGGGCUAAUGUUCUUUCCAAGAUGGAGAAAAUGGAUCAGAGUGAUUUAAUCCGUGUGUUUAAUGCACAGUUGUGUAGCAAUAGCUACCUGGUUGUCAUAAAUGAUCUGUCCACAAUAGAAGAGUGGCAUUGCAUUAAGAAGUACUUUCCUGACAAUAAGAAACAAAGUAGAAUCAUCGUUUCCACACAGCAAGUUGAAAUUGCAAGCUUGUGCCCGGAGAAACCGUACCAAGUUUCUGAGUUAAAGCAGUUCUCAUCUGAUCAAACUAUUUUUUUGUUCCACAAGAAGGAUUCAGAGGAGCAGGCCGGCAUGGGCAGUUUGAGUGUGGUAAUGUUUGAGAUCAAUGAAGAAGCAAUGGAUGCUGAUGCGGAAAUGGAAAAACUGAAGGCUAUGCAUGAGUCAUGUUCUGCUGAGCCCAUUUCGGACUCAAACAACGCUACUACUACUGAGAAAAACAUGGCAAUGCUCCCCGGUGAAAUACAUGAGGAAGACGAAGAACCUAAGAAUGCAGGUGAAGAAAAAGUUCAUAACUCAACUGCUAGAAAGAAGGCUAAUCGCGACAGGACGCUAGCACUAGCUGAUGAAGUGCUCUGUGGGCGAGAAAAAGAGACAUUUGAUAUUAUCAAAUUAGUUGGCCAACCAGACAACAAUCAAGGCUGUAAGGUGAUCUCAGUUUGGGGAACUGACGGUACUGGAAAAACCACUUUUGUCCGACACAUCUACCAAAGCCCGCAGCUUGGUGGAUGGAAGCGUGCCUGGGUCACUGCAUCACGUCCUUUUAACCAUGAAGUACUCCUUAGAACUUUGGCUUUGCAGCUUCUGUAUACUAUUCAAGAAGAUCCUGCCGAAUCAACUAGAGAGCAACAGAAAAGCAUAUCUGUGAUGAAACUUAAAGAGCUGAAGGAGGAGCUGGCUCGGUUACUGAAAUUGCAAAGGUGUCUUAUUGUUCUUGAUGAUAUAUCAUCCGCUCUUGAAUGGGAUGUUAUCAAAUCGUGUUUGGAUAAUGCUGGAAGGAUCAUCGUCACCACAAGAGAAGAAAAUAUUGCUAGACAUUGUUCAAGAGUAUACAAGAACAUCUACAGUCUUGAUGGUCUGAAAGAUGAUGCGGCACUCGACCUCUUCAUAAAGAAGGUAUUCAAAUACAACAUUGAAAAUAAUAAGUUGGGCCCAGUUAUGAGGGAGGAAGCAAGAGCUACCCUGCAGAAAUGCGCUGGACUUCCCCUUGCAAUAUCAACUGUCGGUGAAUUCCUAGCCACUAAGAGAAAAACUGAUGUUGAAUGGAGAAUGAUGAAUGAUUGUAUUAACACUGAAUUGGAUAUGAAUCCUGAACUUAGGACAACAGUUCUUAUGAGGAGAACAAUAAAGACAACUCUUAUGAGGAACUUCAAUAGUUUGCCAUACCAUCUCAAGUUUGCUUUCUUAUACUUGUCCAUCUUUCCAGAAAAUCACAGAAUUAGGUGGGGUCGCUUGGUGAGGCGGUGGAUUGCAGAGGGAUACUCCAGGGAUAUGCAUGGCAUGGCUGCAGCUGAACUUUGUCAGACAUACUUUGAUGAGCUCCUGAAUAGGAAUAUGAUCCUGCCAAAGGAAGGGGUAGACCAUUACAGUCAGAAAAUCAAGUAUUGCCAACUUCAUGAUAUCAUUGGUGAAAUAUUCAUCUCAAAGGCUAGGGAGGAAAACCUUGUUUUCACACUGGAGGAAGGAUGCUGUUUGAGCGACACAGAAGGUGCAAUACGUCAUCUUGUCAUAGGCUACAACUGGAAAAGGGAUGAAAGUGUGUUGCCAAGCAUGCUAGACUUGUCACAUGUACGGUCAUUGACCGUGUUCGGAGAGUGGAGACCCUUUUUCAUAUCCGAUAAUAUGAGGUUCCUCCGGGUGCUCGACUUGGAAGACACAUCAGGGUUAAGAGAUCAUCAUCUUGAUCAAAUUGGGCAGCUUCGUCACCUCAAGUACCUUUCUCUACGAGGAUGUCACAACAUUUUAUGCCUGCCUAGUUCCUUGUGCAAUUUGAGGAACCUCGAAACACUGGAUGUUAGAGGUACACGUAUUUAUGAGUUGCCAACAACAAUCACCAAUCUUCAGAAGCUCCAACACCUCCGUGCAGAUGGUUAUCAGAACAGUGAUAAUGUCAAGGGAGAGGAUGACAUAGUUAACAAGUAUGAAGGUUACACCGAUCGUUUCUCUGCAUGUCAAACAUGUCAUCUUUUCUUGAGACCACACAUGUUAGAUGCUGGUUUGAACAGGCAUGACAUUUUCAAUAUAUGCCGCUUCAAGAAGGUAGACGUAGGUGGUGUUGUACUUCCUAGAGGGAUUGAUAAAUUGAAGGCCCUUCACGCACUAGGUGUUGUCGAUGUUUCUCAUAGAAAUGGAAAGGCAACUCUAAAAGAGCUUGGAAAGCUUAGUCAACUGCGUAAGCUCAAAGUUGCUGGCAUGAGGUACAGAAACAGCACUGAGUUAUGGUCUGCCAUUGCUGGUCACAAUCAACUUCUAUCUUUGUCAGUUGAAGCAGAGGAAGAGGGCUGUCAGUUAGAUGGUUGUUUCAGUGAGGGUUUGGUGCCACCGAGCAGCCUGGAGAGCCUCACUCUCGUUGGUCAUCUAGUCAGUGCAACAGAAUGGACCCAUAAGCUUCAGAAUCUCUCCAAGUUGGUGCUAGAGAGCAGCAGAUUGGAUCGAGAUGAUGACAUACAAACCAUCGGGUUUCUACCAAAACUUGCAGUUCUACGCCUGAAAUAUAAUUCGUUUAUUGGGACACAGCUCUGUUUCGAGAGAUCAUAUUUCCCGAGUCUUAUGGUUCUGGAGUUCGAUGGAUUAAACAGCCUGGAGUGGAUGCUGUUUGAAGAAGGCGUAAUGCCUAAGCUCGAGCUGCUACAAGUUGGUGGGUGCUCAAAGCUGAAUGCAUUCUCCGGGCUGCCAGGCCUCACAAGUCUCAAGGAAAUUCAGUUGGCUAGGCAUGGUGUCCCUGAAAAUGUGACCAAACAGGUGCAGAAGCAGGUGGCGGAAGUGCGUGGGUGCAGUGGCAGACAUGGUCUGCCAUUGCUGGUCACAAUCAACAGGUCAGGGUGA